ensembl:lncRNA
GCGCCAUGCGCAGCUUAAGGAGCACGGUGGGCAGGCGGCGGCGGCAGAAGGACGAGGCCGUGACGAAAUCGCAGAGCUCCAGAGACCCGCGCGUGGGGAUUAGGCCGAGAGCAUACAGUUUGUCCAGCAGCGCGGCCGAGGAGCGCACGCGAAACGGGUCGCGCUCCGGCAGGUCCCGCAGGCGCCGCGCCAGCUCGCGCACAGCACGGCUCAGCUGGUUGUAGCGCGUGUAGUCCUCGCGCCGUUGCAGCCGAUAACGCCGCAACACGCGCAGCUCGUGCAAGUUGUGAUCGGUGACCUCCCAGUUCAGGAAGUCCACCUGCUUCAGCAGCUUCUGCUCGUGGAACUUAAGCUUCCGCACCAUGACGGCGGCUUGGAUGCUGCAGGACCCGUGGCUCAGCGCGCGUUCCGGCGCCCGCGCGACUUCCGCCUCAGCACUGCUAGACCGGGCCUGGGGACCCUGGGCCAAUAAAAGAAAGGCUCAGUGCUACGCCCUCUGUUUCCACUGGUCAGGGUGGGGCCACGCCCCGCGUCUGUAUCUCGCGAUUCUUCUCUUCUUCGCGUUCUCUGAGGGAGGCGGGGAAAGAGCGCUGGUAGACACCUGGGACGAGAGGGGGGCCCCAAAGACGAGUCUGCGCGGUUUUAAGUCGUCUAGAAUUAAUCACCUAGUGCCGUAAUUAUUUCCUCUCAUUUAGAUUUCUGCCAUUCAGUGCCUCUCUGAAACUGGCUUAAGAGGCCAGUUCCGGGAAAGGGGGGUGACUGUCGCGCUAGUUUGGUUGAAUUUACUGUGCUGACCGUGGCGGGCGGGGGGCGUCCUCCGACCUCGUGGCGGGCUUCCCCGAGCCGGCCGGGGCUGAUCGGGUAUGCCCACCGCCCACUAGCGCCAGGUCCAUUAGCAGGCGGGCGGAACGGUUUCUCCCUGCCAAGUGGGGCUAGGCGCCACCGAACCUAUGAAAUACCGAUUCCCAGGCUGCUUCCUACACCCACAGAAUCGGGAUCUACACCGGAGUCACCUGGAAAUCUGUAUUGUUAACAAGAAUGCCAGGUGAUUCAUAAAACCCAGUAAGUUUGAAAAGCUUGGAUAGUACAAGUGCUGACCCUUUAAUCCGGGCUCAAACGAAUUAGCUUGACAGGGUGCAUUUCUGGUGCCGAGUAUUUAGUUAACUUAACACUUUUUCUGCUAGUUAUAUCUGUUUCAGCUUAGUGUAGCGCUACAGGACUAACUUCUUUAUUUGCCCAAGACUUUGACGCCACCUAGCUUCUUCGCCUAUCAUUUUGUUUUAUUUUUGUACGCUUCUCAUUGUUUUUUUAAAAUAUAAUAUUUGAUAUAUGGAAUCUACUAUAUGUAAGAUACAAAGUAUAAUGAAUACUUGUGGACCCAAGAGCCAGUUUAAGAAAGCAUCACCAGGACCACUUCAUCUACAUAUUCCAGCCACUCCCCCAGUGAGAGGUAAAGGUAUCUACUCUCCUGAAUUUAGUGUUUAUUUUUACCUUUUGUUUAAAAAGAAAAAAUUUUUUAAUUUAAAAAAAUUUAAAAAGGAAAAUAGUUUUAUCAUGGUAAAUGCAUCCCUAAAUACUGAGAACCUUCUUACUCAAAGUGUAGUCCAUGGAUCAGCAGAGAGCUGUUGGAAAUGCAGAAUUUCAGGCCCCAUUUCUGACCUACAGAAUCAGAAUCUGCAUUUAACCAGACCCCCAGGUAAUUUGCAUGCACACUGACAUUUGAGAAGUGUUGCUUAGAAGACAUCACAUCGUGUGGAGUUUUCUAUCUGUAGCUGCAGUUUUUUUUCUUUAACUGUUGCAUUAUAUUCCAUUGUUUGGUUCUAUCUAAUUUAUUAAUCCAUCUCCUGUUGGAUUUUUUUGGAGGGAAUAUUUUUAGCAGUGCUACUAUUAAAAUUCUUGUAGGUUUCCUGUUGCACAUAUGUAGUAACUUCUGUUGAAUAGUAUACAUCUUGAAGUUGAAUUGCUCAGUUGUAAAGUAUGCAUGUAAAGUAUGCAUGAACAUGUAAAGUGCAUGUUGAGCUUUACUAGAUAUUGCCAAAUUGUUUUCCAAAGGGGCUGUACCAGUUUAUAUUCCUUUGACAGUGCAUGGGCGUUCCCUUUGCUCCUCAUUCUUUUUUUUUUUUUUUUAAUAAAUUUAUUAUUUAUUUAUGGCUGCAUUGGGUCUCCGUUGCUGCACACAGGCUUUCUCUAGUUGCAGCCAGCGGGGGCUACUCUUUGUUGUGGAGCUCCGGCUUCUCACUGCGGUGACUUCUCUUGUUCUGGAGCACGGGCUCUAGGCACGGGCUUCAGUAGCUGUGGCUCACAGGCUCUAGAGCACAGGCUCAGUAGUUGUGGCACACGGGCGUAGUUGCUCCGCGGCAUGUGGGAUCUUCCCAGACCAGGGCUCGAACCCGUGUCCCCUGCAUUGGCAGGUGGAUUCUUAACCACUGCGCCACCAGGGAAGCCCUGCUCCUCAUUCUUGACAACACUUGGUUGUUAGAUUUUUUAAAAUAUUUGCCAAUCUGAUGAGUGUGUGAUGGUAUUUAACUGUGAUUUUAAUUUGCAUUUCCUGAUGAAUAAAGGUUUCAUAUGUGUUUCUGCCUCU